rnacentral:lncRNA from 1 species
UUGGAUGCAUUUUGUCACAAGUUAUAUAGUUAUGAAACAAACUUAAUUUAAUUACACAAAAACUUUCAGUUUUACAUAAUUAAACAGUCUAAUAGUUAAAAAUAGCUUACAUAAUUGACAACCAAACAUUUAAUAACUUUUUGUCAAAAGCUUUGCUGGUAUAAGCUCUAAUCAUAUAAGCUUUAUUUAAUAAGCUGUACCAAAUAGAGCCUUAGUUGAGUGCAGAGCACUUAAAG